rnacentral:lncRNA from 1 species
UUUGUUGCAGCUGGAGCUGUGGCCGUGCAUUGAGUACCAUAACUUAUGGCAAAGGUUUUUGGAGCAGAGAGUCUAAGAAUGAAGACGUGUCCAUUAAAUCUGUACCUUUAUGGUGUUAGAUGUUCACUGCUGCUGGCAAGCUCUCCUAGUGCAACUCUGACUAUACCAAAGCCCUCUUGAUGGUUUUUUUCGGGUGUAUUCCAGAAAUGGAGUGGUGUGUUGGCUUUUCAGCAGCAAUAUUGUGCUGGAGAACAAGAGCUGAUCCAAGUGGUGGUGGUCAGUUCUGGGGCACUCACAACAUCACCUCAGUUAUACUUCACAGUAAAAACUGGGUAGACACUGUUCAUCUUUGAAAUAACAGGACCUGCUGUAUGCAAUCCACUAUGAGCCUUACUUCAUUCAGUGAUCUCAAUAUCUGUCUGGAGGUUGAACCUUUGGUUUUCCUUCAAGGCAUUGAAGGGUGCAGAGGCUGUACUUUACAUCCAUCUACACCAACUCUUCCAACACCAAUUCUAAACCUGUCCUGAUGCUUCCAGAGGAAGCUGUGAACUGUUGUGAAGGGUUAUCUGUGGGUAACUUGGCUUGCUGGGCCUGAGAGAGGAGGAGGAGGAUGUGUUUUUCUACGAGGGAAGCCAGCAGAAGCUUCACUGCACUUGGCAUUGCAUUUGAAACUAGUGCUGGUUGCUCUUCACACCACUGCUGCUGUGAAGGAAGGCACAUCCUUUGAGAGCAUGACUGGGUUGACAAUGGCAGUGAAGACUUCCUUCUCAGUGAAAGAACAUCCAAAAGAAUGUGGUUUCACACUGGCUUAACAGGCAUUUCCUCCGUUGAUUUAUUUUAAUAAAAUUUUGCCCGGAUGGCUUUUUUAAUUGAAUAUUUAAGCAAGCUGAAAGCAGGCAUUUUACUGUCUCUCUUUAAUUUGUGCUGAUAUAUGGUUUAGCAUAAUUAUUUUUUAAUGCCCUCUUUUAAAGUGUGGUGCCCUCAUCCUCCUGACCCUCUUCAUUCAAGAAGUGGUGGAUUUAAUUUGAAGAGAAAUGUCUGUUGUAUCGCUGCCCUGUGGCAGGGAGGUAUGUGGGAGGGGUGGGCUUGGCAAAAAAAAAAAAAAAUAAAAUAAAUUGCUGGCUUUUAAAGUGAUGGGUUCAGGCCAAAAAGCAUUAAGAAUGGUCUGAGGCAUACUGUAAGCUGCCUUUCUGAACCUCAUGAAUUUAGUUCUAAAUAUGAAACUUGCAGCAUUGCACAGAUGCCUUGGCUUUAUUGAGUGACCUAAAACAACCAAGUUACAGUUUUUCUCCUUCCCUCCCCUCCUCCCC